rnacentral:rRNA from 1 species
ACUCCUACGGGAGGCAGCAGUGGGGAAUAUUGCACAAUGGGGAAACCCUGAUGCAGCCAUGCCGCGUGUGUGAAGAAGGCCUUCGGUUGUAAAGCACUUUCAGUAGGGAGGAAGGUAGUGUAGUUAACACCUGCAUUAUUUGACGUUACCUACAGAAGAAGCACCGGCUAACUCCGUGCCAGCAGCCGCGGUAAUACGGAGGGGUGCGAGCGUUAAUCGGAAUUACUGGGCGUAAAGCGCAUGCAGGCGGCCUGUUAAGUCAGAUGUGAAAGCCCGGGGGCUUAACCUCGGAAUUGCAUUUGAAACUGGCAGGCUAGAGUCUUGUAGAGGGGGUAGAAUUUCAGGUGUAGCGGUGAAAUGCGUAGAGAUCUGAAGGAAUACCAGUGGCGAAGGCGGCCCCCUGGACAGAUACUGACACUCAGAUGCGAAAGCUGGGGAGCAAACAGGAUUAGAUACCCUGGUAGACUGUCA